ACCAGCAGUCAUAUCAUCCUGCAGUUCUCAACUGGCUACCAGCUGAAGCUCAGCAGGUUUGAGCCUGGUCAGUACCUGGAUGGGAGACCUCCUAGGAGGCUAUGGCUGCUGCUGGAA
rnacentral:rRNA from 1 species